rnacentral:rRNA from 1 species
UACAGAGGGGCAAGCGUUAUUCGGAAUUAUUGGGCGUAAAGGGCGCGUAGGCGGCCUGGCAAGUGGAAGGUGAAAUCCCUCGGCUUAACCGAGGAACUGCCCUCCAAACUGCUUGGCUUGAGUCCGGGAGAGGUGAGUGGAAUUCCCAGUGUAGCGGUGAAAUGCGUAGAUAUUGGGAGGAACACCAGUGGCGAAGGCGGGUCGUCUGGGCAGUAACGUGACGCUGAGGAGCGAAAGCGUGGGUAGCGAACGAGG